AUACUUACCUGGCAGGGGAGAUACCAUGAUCAGGCAGGUGGUUUUCCCAGGGUGAGGCUCCUCCAUUGCACUUGGGAGGUCCUGACCCCUGUGAUUUCCCCAAAUGUGGGAAACUCGACUGCAUAAUUUGUGGUAGUGGGGGACUGCGUUCGCGCUCUCCCCUG
rnacentral:snRNA from 1 species